AUUAUACGGCGAAACUGCGAAUGGCUCAUUAAAUCAGUUAUCGUUUAUUUGAUAGUACCUUACUACUUGGAUAACCGUGGUAAUUCUAGAGCUAAUACAUGCUUAAAAUCCCGACUCACGAAGGGAUGUAUUUAUUAGAUUAAAAACCAAUGCCCUUCGGGGCUCUUUGGUGAUUCAUAAUAACUUUUCGAAUCGCAUGGCCUUGCGCCGGCGAUGGUUCAUUCAAAUUUCUGCCCUAUCAACUUUCGAUGGCAGGGUCUUGGCCUGCCAUGGUGACAACGGGUAACGGAGGGUUAGGGCUCGACCCCGGAGAAGGAGCCUGAGAAACGGCUACUACAUCCAAGGAAGGCAGCAGGCGCGCAAAUUACCCAAUCCCGACUCGGGGAGGUAGUGACAAUAAAUACUGAUACAGGCUCUUUUGGGUCUUGUAAUUGGAAUGAGUACAAUUUAAAUCCCUUAACGAGGAACAAUUUGAGGGCAAGUCUGGUGCCAGCAGCCGCGGUAAUUCCAGCUCCAAUAGCGUAUAUUAAAGUUGUUGCAGUUAAAAAGCUCGUAGUUGAACCUUGGGCCUGGCUGGCCGGUCCGCCUCACCGCGUGCACUGGUUCGGCCGGGCCUUUCCCUCUGGGGAACCGCAUGCCCUUCACUGGGUGUGUCGGGGAACCAGGACUUUUACUGUGAAAAAAUUAGAGUGUUCAAAGCAGGCCUAUGCUCGAAUACAUUAGCAUGGAAUAAUAGAAUAGGACGUGUGGUUCUAUUUUGUUGGUUUCUAGGACCGCCGUAAUGAUUAAUAGGGACAGUCGGGGGCGUCAGUAUUCAAUUGUCAGAGGUGAAAUUCUUGGAUUUAUUGAAGACUAACUACUGCGAAAGCAUUCGCCAAGGAUGUUUUCAUUAAUCAGGAACGAAAGUUAGGGGAUCGAAGACGAUCAGAUACCGUCGUAGUCUUAACCAUAAACUAUGCCGACUAGGGAUCGGGCGAUGUUAUUAUUUCACUCGCUCGGCACCUUACGAGAAAUCAAAGUCUUUGGG
rnacentral:rRNA from 1 species